rnacentral:precursor_RNA from 1 species
CAUAUCUCAGGAGCUUUAACUUGCCCUUUAAUGGCUUUUACUCUUCUUUGGAUUGAAGGGAGCUCUACAUCUUCUUUCA